rnacentral:sRNA from 1 species
UAACUCUAAAUAAUUGGGUUUGUAAUGC